rnacentral:tRNA from 1 species
GCUGCUGUAGCCCAAGAGGAAGAGGUGUCGGUCUUAGAAACCGGAGGUUGUGGGUUCAAAUCCCAUCGGCAGUACCA